rnacentral:rRNA from 1 species
GUCAAGACAUGGGCGUGAUUGACAGGCUAAUGACUUUUCUCGAUUCCAUGGAUGGUGGUGCAUGGUCGCACUUAGUUGGUGCAGUGAUUUGUCAGGUUUAUUCCGGUAACGAACGAGACCUCGGCCUUGUAAAUAGCUAUGCUGCUUACAGGGACAUUGGCGGCUACGCCAAGGAAGCUCGAGGCAAUUGCAGAUCUGGAAUGCCCUUAGAUGUCCUGGGUCGCACGCGUGCUACAAUGACGCCACGAACGAGCUUGCGUGAUGAAAGUUACGCAUAAUCAGCAGUCGGCGUCUUAAGGGAUAGUCUCUUGUAACUGUGGGACUCCAACUAGGAAUGUCUCGUAAGCACAAGUCAACAUCUUGUGUUGAUUACGUCCCUGCUCUUUGUACACACCGCCCGUCGCUCCUACCGAUCGAGUGUUUUGUGAAUUUGAUGGACGUAAGGAAGUCAAAUAAACCUGAGCACUAGAGAAGAGAGCGACAGAGGGACAAGGAAAGUG